AGCCUGGAAAAGGUCUGCUGGGAAAGAAAUAACUCUUAUUCGGGUGGGAUGAUUAUUUCAUUUUUACUCUAUAUAUUACGUCUUUUAAAACAAACAACUUGUAGACAUCAUUUCAUUUUGGAAACCUCUUUACCAACUCCCUGAUCCAAAAUCUGGCAGAUUUUGGUGAUGGCAAAAUUUCCAUUUCGAGCGAAAUUUUAAUUUCUCGUGAAUUUAUUGCCAUCUUUCCACUGCUGGUUGUAUUUUCCUUUGAAAAUUUAGAAGUGCUGGAUCUUCCAGAGCAGAGCCUAGAAUGUGGGGGGAUCUGAGAGGCCAGGGACUGGCCUUUGCUCCCUCCCUGGUGGUCUCACAAGGGCAAAUUCAAUACAAAAGGAGCAGCUCCUUGUGGGGGAUGGAACAUCAGAUCCGGAAAGAAGGAACAGCCGUGCCCUUUGGUUGGGCAGCCAGCUGAGCAGGGUGAUCUCAUGGAUCUUUUCCAAUCUGACGUAUGAUUCAUCCCUGACAUAUACAGGAGUAUGGUUGUCAAGUGAGCCAAGUCAGGGGGCGGCGGACAGCAGAGAACAACCCUGGCUUUAUUUCCAUUUGAUUCCCAUCUUUAUAAGCUGGGGUCCUUGGGUUCUAUACAUUCUUUGGUUGAACGUGUUGGGGGAGAUUACUUUUCCAUGCGUGGCGGGUAGUCUUUGGGGCCACACCGUCUGAUGUUUCCAAAACCAGAGCUGGGCAGACAUCCUCCUCCGCUGGGUUUAUUUGGAAACGUCAGUCCCCUCCGUGCCACUCAGAGGUGGAGAGAGCAGCCAGUCCAGGCCAGAUGGCAUCUCGGCGAGGUCCCAGCUCCCCGGGGCAGCCAGGGAGAUGGGCCGGGGGGUUGGUGGGGGAGAGGGAGGCACGGUUUAUGGGAGAGUAUCAAUCCAGAGAGGGGAAGAGGGAGCCGUGGGAUAAAAAUAGCACGCGCGUGAACUCCUGCCCCCAACCCUGCCCCCCAUCCUUAAUGAUUUCUCCGAUGACUUGUGUUUGGCUCCAAGAGGAACAGCAGGCGCCUGAGCCGGGUUACUCAACUGGGGAGAAAAGGAGGGAGCCCGCCUGCCAGGAAUUUUGAAUCCCCUCGGAAGAAUGUAAUAAUUGUUCCUGCGCUCCUGAAAAGUCUUGGAAAACCUUCCUGUUUUUACAGAUGGGUUUCUCUGCUUCUCUCCACCCCUCCCCCCUCUUAAUUAUUCCUUUUCUCUCUUUAUUUCCAUGGGAAAAUAGCUGGUGUCACCUCAGGGAGACAGGCAGGGCAUUCUGCUUUGCUUGUUAUUUUUUAUAGCGUUCUUUGUCUUCUCUCCGGCUUCCAGCAAGACACGGCCAAAAUGGUUUGGCAGAUCACUUUGCAUUAGUAAAACUCUGUGUCAGCCACAACUGAAGCUGGGAGUAAACGACUAAUGUCAGCUUGCAAGUCGGAGAAAUGCACCAGGCCAGCAACUGUCUUCCCAUCCAGCCUCUGAUGGGGGUCCACGGGCAAGCAAGACCAAGGGGACGAAUGACACUAUAUCACCUGCUUGUUGGCACUCUGGCUGCUCCCAGAUCGCCCCAUCUCAGCUGACAAAUAAGAGAACUCCUCGACCUGGCUAGUGCCUAGCGAUUAACUUCAGGGCUGCAUUUUCCAACUUGAAAAUCUUUUUAACUACUGUUUUGCGAUUUUCCCCACUGAGCGCUUUGGCAUCAGAGGAAGAGACUCUGAGAAGUAGGGCCCAGGGGAACUGUAUCCUCUUUCCUAGUUUGGCAAGUCUGGCCCUGCUCCAGACACACUGCUUAGACUGCUUCAUUCCUCCUGUAGGCCUUCCGUGAAGUCGGACACGCACAUCCUCACCUGAGAACAGACCUGUCAAUUUCUCAAAUCUUUACAACAUCGGAGCCUGAGCCUCUGUCUUGCUGGAAUUAGACAUGAAUUUCAGUUAAAUGAGAAGUAAUGUUUUGUCCACACUCCUUGGUUUCACCCCUUAACCUUUCUGUGGGCUCUCACCCUAAGCCAGGGUGGGGCAGCCUAUUCCUGAGCGCUCCCCUUAGCAGGACAGUCUAGUUGGAAAGACAACCGGAGACACUUGGCUUUUCUCCCCCCAGGCCCCACCCCCAUAGCUGUAGCAGCAGAACUGGGGACAUUUAUCACUCUAGGGUAGUUAUUUGUUUCUUUGCCAUUCAAGGGAAUUCUCAAGGGGAGUUCCUAUGGUUGCUCAGUUUUGAGCAACUCGCAGCAGAAGAUCUGGCAUUGGUCAGGGUCUCAACAAAUAUUGCAUGAGUAAAUCCUAUAUUCUUUCUGAACUGAUGCUUAUUCCUGAGAUUGGUAUUCAUCCCAGAAUAUGCAGUAGAGAUAAAAUUCCCACAGCAUGGAAUAGAGGCAAGGGGACUGGACUGGAAACGAGAAGAGAAAGUCCAGACCUGGCCUCUGGAGGACCUGGGCUCAGUGAGCAGAGCGGUCAGCGUGGGGCGGGGGUGGCACUCCAGCACGGAGAAGGGCAGUGAUCCAUGGGCAGUCCUGGGAGAUCCAGACAAAGCAAGAGUGUUGGGGCCUCCAUGUAGUCACAGCAGCCACUGAGUGUCUGGGCAGGACACCAGGCCCUAGAGGGUCCUGCAGAUCCAAGAGGGGGCAAAAGAGAAGCAAACACUGUCCUCCAGGUACGUGCUGUCUGCUGAGGGAGACAGAUGAUGGUGUGUAGAAUAGUAAUUCUGAGAAGUGCUUGGAAGGAAAUGCACGCCUCCCCAGCCGAAGCCAAGGGUAGACCCUAGAUAAAGGAUACGGGCACCCCAAUACUCAUUGCAGCAUUGCUUACAAUAGCCAAGACAUGGAAGCAA